rnacentral:lncRNA from 1 species
AUUUUAAAGGAUGACUGAUGGUCCCUGGAAGAGAAACAGUAAACAAAUAAGUUCCUGUCCCAUGACCAGGGCCAGCUCACCAAGGAGCUGCAGCAGCAUGUAAAGUCAGUGACAUGCCCAUGCGAGUACCUGAGGAAGGUUGAUGGACGGAUGGCUACAUGGAUGUGAUGGAGAUGGUUUACUAUCGGGACCUUCCGCACCCUGCUGAUGUUUUGUUGCUUAGGAUAUGAAUGGCUGAGCGGAGGCUGUAAAACCUGGCACUCUGCUUGGGUUAUCAAUACUCUGGCUGACCAUCAUCAUCGUGGGACUGACUUUGGUGGAAGUCCUUGGUUACAUGUCAUUAUUGCAUUUCCGACAAGUUAUAAAGUUGUCAUUACCCUCUGGAUAGUUUACCUUUGGGUGUCUCUCCUGAAGACUAUCUUCUGGUCUCGAAAUGGACAUGAUGGAUCCACGGAUGUACAGCAGAGAGCCUGGAGGUCCAACCGCCGUAGACAGGAAGGGCUGAGGUCCAUUUGUAUGCACACAAAGAAAAGAGUUUCUUCCUUUCGAGGAAAUAAAAUUGUCCUGAAAGACGUCAUUACUCUACGGAGACAUGUGGAAACAAAAGUUAGAGCUAAAAUCCGUAAGAGGAAGGUGACAACGAAAAUCAACCAUCAUGACAAAAUCAAUGGAAAGAGGAAGACCGCCAGAAAACA